UACGGGGGGGGCAAGCGUUGUUCGGAAUUACUGGGCCUAAAGCGCACGUAGGCGGCUAGGUCCGUCCGAUGUGAAAGCCCCCGGCUCAACCGGGGAAUUGCAUCGGAUACAGCCUGGCUUGAGGACGGUUGGGGUGAGUGGAACUCCUGGUGGAGCGGUGAAAUGCGUAGAUAUCAGGAGGAACACCGGUGGCGAAAGCGGCUCACUGGACCGUUGCUGACGCUGAGGUGCGAAAGCUAGGGGAGCAAACGGG
rnacentral:rRNA from 1 species